GGUCACCUGUCAGAGUCGCCCACUUCAACCACCGCUAACCAUAUCAUUCCAAUAUGCUAGUUGGAGUAGAAUAUUGAUCAAUCUUCGGCCCUGCUGAGGUGAUUCUUUGAUUUAUCCUCUGUAUUCCAGUGCCAUCCUUGGGAGGACUGGUGUACUAUAGAUGUCCUAAUUUGUCCAAAAGAUAAAGAAACAAAAGGGUUUGGUCGGUGGUAUAUCCUUAUAAAGGAAAUUUGAGAGGCCAAUCUUCUUCUUUUCCCUUUAUUUUUUGGGGAUGGGAAAGGGCAGCCCCUGCAUUUGUUUUGCUGUCCUGUUUUGUAGAAUUCCGUUUUAUAUAAAAGGUGGGAAGAAAAAAAUCAGUGUUUCCUAACAGCA